GACGAACGCUGGCGGCGUGCCUAAUACAUGCAAGUUGAGCGAUGAAGAUUGGUGCUUGCACCAAUUUGAAGAGCAGCGAACGGGUGAGUAACGCGUGGGGAAUCUGCCUUUGAGCGGGGGACAACAUUUGGAAACGAGUGCUAAUACCGCAUAACAACUUUAAACAUAAGUUUUAAGUUUGAAAGAUGCAAUUGCAUCACUCAAAGAUGAUCCCGCGUUGUAUUAGCUAGUUGGUGAGGUAAAGGCUCACCAAGGCGAUGAUACAUAGCCGACCUGAGAGGGUGGGGGGCCACAUGGGGACUGAGACAGGCCCAAAACCCCUGCGGGGGGCAGCAGGAGGGAAUGUUGGGAAAUGGACGAAAGUCUGACCGAGAAAGGCGGAGGGAGGGAAGAGGGUUGCGGGAUGGAAAAACUCUGUGGGUAGAGAAGAACGUUGGUGAGAGUGGAAAGCUCAGCAAGUGCAGGUACGGUCCAAGAAAGGGAGGGAAAACUAGGUG
rnacentral:rRNA from 1 species